rnacentral:rRNA from 1 species
UACGAACUGUGCAAACGUUAUUCGGAUUUACUGGGCUUAAAGGGUGUGUAGGCGGGCUUUUAAGUCAGUGGUGAAAUCUCCGGGCUCAACCUGGAAACUGCCAUUGAUACUAUUAGUCUUGAAUUUUGUUGAGGUAGGCGGAAUAAGUCAUGUAGCGGUGAAAUGCAUAGAUAUGACUUAGAACACCAAUUGCGAAGGCAGCUUGCUAAACAAAUAUUGACGCUGAGGCACGAAAGCGUGGGGAUCAAACAGG